rnacentral:rRNA from 1 species
GAUGACGGCCUUCGGGUUGUAAACCUCUUUCAGUAGGGAAGAAGCGAAGUGACGGUACCUGCAGAAGAAGCACCGGCUAACUACGUGCCAGCAGCCGCGGUAAUACGUAGGGUGCGAGCUAUCCGGAAUUAUUGGGCGUAAAGCGCGCGCAGGCGGCCUAUCCAGUCUGUCUUAAAAGUUCGGUGCUCAACCCCGUGAUGGGAUGGAAACUAGUAGGCUAGAGUAUCGGCGAGGAAAGCGGAAUUCCUAGUGUAGCGGUGAAAUGCGUAGAUAUUAGGAAGAACACCAGUGGCG